rnacentral:rRNA from 1 species
AUGUGGUUUAAUUCGAAGCAACGCGAAGAACCUUACCAGGUCUUGACAUCCCGAUGCUAUUCUAGAGAUAGAAAGUUACUUCGGUACAUCGGUGACAGGUGGUGCAUGGUUGUCGUCAGCUCGUGUCGUGAGAUGUUGGGUUAAGUCCCGCAACGAGCGCAACCCCUAUUGUUAGUUGCCAUCAUUCAGUUGGGCACUCUAGCGAGACUGCCGGUAAUAAACCGGAGGAAGGUGGGGAUGACGUCAAAUCAUCAUGCCCCUUAUGACCUGGGCUACACACGUGCUACAAUGGUUGGUACAACGAGUUGCGAGUCGGUGACGGCGAGCUAAUCUCUUAAAGCCAAUCUCAGUUCGGAUUGUAGGCUGCAACUCGCCUACAUGAAGUCGGAAUCGCUAGUAAUCGCGGAUCAGCACGCCGCGGUGAAUACGUUCCCGGGCCUU